rnacentral:rRNA from 1 species
GACGAACGCUGGCGGCGUGCUUAACACAUGCAAGUCGAACGGAAAGGCCAGUGCUUGCACUGGUACUCGAGUGGCGAACGGGUGAGUAACACGUGGGUGAUCUGCCUUGCACUCUGGGAUAAGCUUGGGAAACUGGGGCUAAUACCGGAUAUGAACUGCCUUUAGUGUGGUGGUUGGAAAGUUUUUUCGGUGCAAGAUGAGCUCGCGGCCUAUCAGCUUGUUGGUGGGGUAAUGGCCUACCAAGGCGUCGACGGGUAGCCGGCCUGAGAGGGUGUACGGCCACAUUGGGACUGAGAUACGGCCCAGACUCCUACGGGAGGCAGCAGUGGGGAAUAUUGCACAAUGGGCGGAAGCCUGAUGCAGCGACGCCGCGUGAGGGAUGACGGCCUUCGGGUUGUAAACUCCUUUCGACAGGGACGAAGCGUAAGUGACGGUACCUGUAUAAGAAGCACCGGCUAACUACGUG